rnacentral:rRNA from 1 species
GACGAACGCUGGCGGCGUGCUUAACACAUGCAAGUCGAACGGAAAGGCCCUGCUUUUGUGGGGUGCUCGAGUGGCGAACGGGUGAGUAACACGUGUGUAACCUGCCCUUGACUUUGGGAUAACUCCAGGAAACUGGGGCUAAUACCGGAUAGGAGCUCCUGCUGCAUGGUGGGGGUUGGAAAGUUUCGGCGGUUUGGGAUGGACUCGCGGCUUAUCAGCUUGUUGGUGGGGUAGUGGUUUACCAAGGCUUUGACGGGUAGCCGGCCUGAGAGGGUGACCGGCCACAUUGGGACUGCGGUACGGCCCAGACGCCUACGGGAGGCAGCAGUGGGGAAUAUUGCACAAUGGGCGGAAGCGUGAGGCAGCAACGCCGCGUGCGGGAUGCCGGCCUUCGGGUUGUAAACCGCUUUCGCCUGUGACGAAGCGUGAGUGACGGUAAUGGGUAAAGAAGCACCGGCUAACUACGUG